rnacentral:rRNA from 1 species
UACAGAGGGUGCGAGCGUUGUCCGGAAUCACUGGGCGUAAAGCGCACGUAGGCGGAUUGGUCAGUUAGGGGUGAAAUCCCAGAGCUCAACUCUGGAACUGCCUUUAAUACUGCCAGUCUAGAGUCCGGAAGAGGUAAGUGGAACUCCUAGUGUAGAGGUGGAAUUCGUAGAUAUUAGGAAGAACACCAGUGGCGAAGGCGGCUUACUGGUCCGGUACUGACGCUGAGGUGCGAAAGCGUGGGGAGCAAACAGG